UAGUUUAUUGUUUUUAAUAAUAAAUAAUUUCUGCCCAGUGAAUUAAAAUAAUUUAUAUUAUUUAUUUUAACGGCCGCAGUACUUUGACUGUGCAAAGGUAGCAUAAUCAAUUGGCCUUUAAUUAAGGUCUCGUAUGAAUGGAAAAACAGGAAAAUACUGUCUUUAAAAAGAUUUUAUAAAUUUACUUUAGAAAGUGAAAAUUCUUUUAUUUAUAAAAAUAAGACGAGAAGACCCUUAGAAUUUUAAUAAAUGUUAAUGAAAUUUUAAAUUUAUUUUAAAUAUAUUAUCUUAUUUUUGUUGGGGCAACAUAUUUAAUUGCAAAAUCUUAUUUAAUUAAUAAUUAAAUUAAUUUUAAUUAUUGUUUUAAAUAUUAAAUAAAUCAAAAGUAUAUUAAUAAAUAAUAGUUUAAAUAAUUAUUGUUUAAAUAAAUUUAUUUAUAUGAAAUUUUUAAUAUAAUUUAAAAAUAGAAAAAUUAAAUUACCUUAGGGAUAACAGCAUAAUUUAUUACUAUAAGAUUGUGACCUCGAUGUUGGAUUAGGGUAGAUUAAGUUUAGUCAAUUUAAUUGUAAGUUCUGUUCGAACUUUAAUUACCU
rnacentral:rRNA from 1 species